rnacentral:rRNA from 1 species
UACGAAGGGGGCUAGCGUUGCUCGGAAUCACUGGGCGUAAAGGGGGCGUAGGCGGGUUUUUAAGUCAGGGGUGAAAUCCUGGAGCUCAACUCCAGAACUGCCUUUGAUAAUGAAGAUCUUGAGUUCGGGAGAGGUGAGUGGAACUGCGAGUGUAGAGGUGAAAUUCGUAGAUAUUCGCAAGAACACCAGUGGCGAAGGCGGCUCACUGGCCCGAUACUGACGCUGAGGCACGAAAGCGUGGGGAGCAAACAGG